rnacentral:lncRNA from 1 species
AUCCUGCAGCAGAAGUAUUGGGAGGCCCUAAACUCGGAGCAGGUAUGGACAAUCAUGCUGUCUCUCUCUUCCAGGAGGGACUUCUAUGGCUUGAUUUCAGCUUUUGUUUUUGUUAGAGGCUCUCGGAUGAUGGCACAUGACAAAAUCCAUUAAAAAAAAAAAAAAGAUGUAAAAAGCAAGAGACAAGUUUGAGGACUAGCCGGGCUCUCUUAGUUCAGAGUCUUUUGCUUUGGGGGUAUUCACAUAAGCCCAUACUAUCCACUAGGGACUCAGAAAACAGGCAUAACCCAGUGAAGAUCCAUGGAUUGGAACAGGGCCUGCCUAUGAGCAAGCGAGAGUUGCCGUAGGUCACCAAUGGUAGUGCUGGUGUGACAUGGCUGCAGCAGCUGAUAUGAUAAACAGUUCCACACAUUUGUCUUUCUGAGACCUGGGGCACCUGGUUGCUGUCACCAUGCCAUCUUUGCCUCGCAGUAGCAGAUGAGCACGUGUUUUAUGACAACUGCCUGUGCCUGUCAUCUCCCAGGAUGGUUUCUGAGAGGAGAAUAAAUGCAUUAUCUUUUGUUCAAAUUAUUUUUAUGACUGGUUUCCCACAAUAUUUUUAUUACUUAAAGUGAAGUUUUAACUGGGCACAGUGGCACUACCUUUAAUCGCAGUUACUUGGAAGUCUGAAGCAGGAGGCUCACAAGUUCAAGUCCAAUCUCAGCAAUUUAGCAAGACCCUGUCUCAAAAUAAAAAAAUAAAUAAAUAGGGCUGGGGAUAUAGCCCAAUGGUAGAACAUUUGCCUAGCAUGUAUGAGGCCCUGGAUUCAAUCCCGAGUACCAUGCGGGAGAAAAUGAAGUUGGUUUUUUGUUUGUUUGUGUUUCCUUCCUUCUUUUCUUCUUCUUUUUUUUUUUGUACCAGAGAUUGAACCCAGGGGCAUUCAACCACUGAGCCACAUCCCCAGCCCAUUUUAUUUUUUAUUUUGAGAGAGGGUCUUGUCAAAUUGCUGAGUGUGGCUUUGAACUUGUGAUUUUCCUACUUCAGCCUCCAAGCCCCUGAGAUUACAUAUGUGGCAAUAAAUGAAGUUUUAAAACAUAUUAUUCAAAAGAAAGGGAUUUAAAAUAUUGUCUAAUACCUAGUUCAUUUCAAAGAGUUCACUUGAUCAAAGUGGCAGGUUGUUUCUGUUUGCGAGCAGCUGAUUUGGUCAGGAUUAGCAAGAAUAACUUUUAAGAAGUCAUUUCAGCAGUUGGAGCCAUAGUUCUCAAACAUCAGAGCAUCUAAGAAAUAUCAUAGGAACUUGUUAAAAUGCCAAACCGCAGGUAGGAGCUGAGGUGAGUCCUCAGCAUCAGUCUUUUUGAACAGUAGCCCAGGUCCUUCUGGUGGGGUUGGUCCAGAGUACCUUCUGAGAACUCUGAUGUAGGACCCAGGCUUCAGCUCCAAAACAGCCUUCAUCAGAGAGCACACUUCCAUCCUCUGAGAAUGGAAUGGGCCCAUACUUGUGCCACUGGGCAAGUGGGUCACAGAGGCUGGCCAGCGAGCUCUUUUACUUGGAAUCUUUGAUAACAUCAGGGAAGAAUUUACUUAAAGGUGUCCAGCCAAGUCUAUAACCACAAGUAAAUAAGGAGUUCACACCAGGAGUGGCUGUUACAGCGGGCAGAACUGCAUCAACUAAUCCAGCUCAUCCCCAGGCCUAUAGGGUCACUGGGGUCUUUUUAACAUGAUGGCUUUUUAAAUCAUCAAGUAAUAGAAGUUGGUUGAAUUAUUAUCAGUGAAUUUCUAAUUGAACCAGCUUUUCUUUUCAAAACAGAGACAUAAUGUGUGUUUUAUAACUGGCAUGACAUGGAUGUUAUUUGGGAGACCUUAUUUGGGACCUCUAAGAACUAGACUGUUUGAUUCAGCUCAAGUUUGAACAUCUGGCAGAGUGUCUUUGUCAGACAUAAAUCUGGGGUCUAUGACCUCUGUCCAAAUACAUAAUCCAGCCUAGUCUGCCACAUUUUCCAUCACUGUUGCUUGUUUCUGUGUUUCCCAGUACUGUCAAAUGUGACCUCAUGGCUCAAAAUCAUCAGUCAUAGAGGCUCAGAAAUGGAAGAGGUCUUAUUAUCUAAUUGUUGAUCCAACCCUCAGCUUAUGUACAGAGAAACUGAGGCCCAAAGAAGAGCAAGCAAGUUUGUGACAGAAGGAAGACUUGGCCCAGUCCCCACUUGCCUCUGGAGCUGUAACAUCAAGGGUAGCACUAAGAAUCCCUUGGGUCUUGACCAUGUGCAAAGUUCUCUCUCUAAUCCAUCAUCUGCAAAUACCUUCAUAAAGGCUAUGUUCCAGCUUUUUUUUUUUAACUUUUUACCCUUACCCUUGAAAAUUUCAAUUUUCCAUACUUAUCUGAGUCAGAUUAUGAAAUAUUAACUGGCAGUGCCCACCAUUCUGAAUUGGGUUUUAAGUGUUUAUUUUUUCAGUGCCAGGGAUUGAACCUGGGGGCACUUAAACCACUGAGCCACAUCCCCAACCCUUUUAUUUUUUGAGACAGGGUCUUGCUAAGUCUCUUAGGGCCUUGCUAAGUUGCUGAGGCUGGGUUUGAACUCAUAAUCCUCUUGCCUCAGCCUCCCAAGCUGCUGGGAUUGCAGACAUGCACUUAUACCAGGCACAGUGCCUGAAGUGUUUAUUUUUAACAAAUCUUCUGGACCUCAAAUUGAGAGGAAACACCAAGUGAGAGCCCUGCUCUUCAGGAGUUCAUCAUCUCCCUAAGAGAACAAGGCAGAUGUCCAAAGAAAGACUGAGGCCAUCCAUGUGCAGGUACGGAUGAGUAGCAGAUGUAAUACUAAGAAAGGAGCAGGUGCAAGCUCACUGGGCUAACACAGCCAAGGCAGGCUUCCUGCCAGAGGAGGUAUUUCCUCUCAAGAGUGGGUUGAGGCCAGGUAUGGUGGCACUUGCCUCAAUCCCAGCUACUCAGGAGGCUGAGGUGGGAGGAUGAAAAGUUCUAGGCCAUCCCAGGCAACUUAGCAAGACCUUGUCUCAAAAUAAAAUACAUAAAAUAAAAAGAGGGGCUAUAGGUCACCAGCAGAAUGCUUGCCUAGUACACAUGAGGCCCUAGGUUCAAUUCUUAGCAUCACCAAAAAACCAAAGAAUGGGUUUUUAUUGGUCUUUUCCAAGAAUGAAUUAGGCAUGGAGGUAGACAUUUUCAAGAUAAAGGGAUCGUGUCUCAGACUCACUAGAUAAGAAUUUGCUGAAUAUGGGGGACAGUAGAAAGGAGGUGGCAAGGGAAAUGGGGCUGGUCUGUUCAGGGUAAUGGUUCAUUAAUUCCUUGAUUUAAAGGUGUACUUGCUCCCUUUAGGUGCAGGAAACAGAGGCCUGGUUAACUUGACCUCGCCCAGUUGUCCUUAUCUUUGCCUGUGUCAGAACUAAGAUUGAGUUGUUGUUUAGGGUGCGGGAUAGUAAUAGAUUGAAAGGACCUGUCCCACCAAAAUAUCUUUGUGUCUUUUCUUCACAGUGGGAUCCUGAAGAUGUCAAUUUUGAAAGGAACAAUGACAACAUGGAGACCUUCAGAUUCCAGGUGCCGAGGGGCUCUUCGACGACAGUAGACUUCAGCUCUGCUGAUUAGUAUCUUCUAAAAACCAGUCCAUCAGCUCAAAGACUAGGAUGAGGCAUUCAUCAGUAAAACUGAGCAGAGAUCGGACCUACAGUGACACCCAUAGCAGGGAUUUAAGCCACUGAAGAAGCUGCCCAGGGAAGUGAGGAACCUGGAGCUGAGCGUGGCUGGUUUACCUGGCUCCGAAUAAAUCUAAGAUUGUGGGUUCUAUGGACAGACCUGGAUAUGCCAUUUGUUCUGAAGAUUAGAAGCUCACAGAUGGCUCCUGCUUUGUAAAGAUAAGCCUUCAUCCAAAGGACAAUGGGCCCUCUUUUCCCGUCUUUCCUUUCCCUCUAUUCCCAUGAAAUGCAACUGUAAACUCAGUAUCUGCUGGAUGCCAGGAAUGAGUUCACCUAACAAAUAGCUCAUGUGUUUGGACCUCAGCAGAGCCUGUCCUGCAAGCCCUGGCUUCUGCCCUCCAGUAUCUGCUGGAAGUUAUCCAUAGGACUGCUUGGUCAACCAAGUAUCUGUGAGAUCAGUGGUAUGGCAAGCACAAGCAAAAAAACAAAAGAAUGGGUUUUUAUUGGUCUUUUCGAAGAAUGAAAAGCAAGAGAACUUCCUCCAGCCUGGCAACGCGUGUGCGGAGGCAGGGUUUACAG